rnacentral:rRNA from 1 species
ACGGAGGAUUCAAGCGUUAUCCGGAUUUAUUGGGUUUAAAGGGUGCGUAGGCGGUUUGAUAAGUUAGAGGUGAAAUUUCAGGGCUCAACCCUGAACGUGCCUCUAAUACUGUUGAGCUAGAGAGUAGUUGCGGUAGGCGGAAUGUAUGGUGUAGCGGUGAAAUGCUUAGAGAUCAUACAGAACACCGAUUGCGAAGGCAGCUUACCAAACUAUAUCUGACGUUGAGGCACGAAAGCGUGGGGAGCAAACAG